rnacentral:rRNA from 1 species
CCCCAGCGCCACAAGUGGCAUACGCAUUUAUUGGGCCUAAAGCGUCCGUAGCCGGUCUGUUAAAUCUCUUGUGAAAUCAUAGUGCUUAACUCUAUGGCGUGCAGGAGACACUGAUAGACUUGGAACCGGGAGGAGUCAGAGGUAUUCUAGGGGGAGCGGUAAAAUGUUAUAAUCCUUAGAGGACCACCUGUGGCGAAGGCGUCUGACUAGAACGGAUUCGACGGUGAGGGACGAAGGCCAGGGGAGCGAACCGG